rnacentral:rRNA from 1 species
GACGAACGCUGGCGGCGUGCUUAACACAUGCAAGUCGAACGGAAACGCCCUGCUUUUGUGGGGUGCUCGAGUGGCGAACGGGUGAGUAACACGUGAGUAACCUGCCCUUGACUUUGGGAUAACUUCAGGAAACUGGGGCUAAUACCGGAUAGGAGCUCCUGCUGCAUGGUGGGGGUUGGAAAGUUUCGGCGGUUGGGGAUGGACUCGCGGCUUAUCAGCUUGUUGGUGGGGUAGUGGCUUACCAAGGCUUUGACGGGUAGCCGGCCUGAGAGGGUGACCGGCCACAUUGGGACUGAGAUACGGCCCAGACUCCUACGGGAGGCAGCGGUGGGGAAUAUUGCACAAUGGGCGGAAGCCUGAUGCAGCAACGCCGCGUGCGGGAUGACGGCCUUCGGGUUGUAAACCGCUUUCGCCUGUGACGAAGCGUGAGUGACGGUAAUGGGUGAAGAAGCACCGGCUAACUACGUG